rnacentral:rRNA from 1 species
UCCAAAAGCCAGAGUAUUGCUAACCUACUCAACUGUUGGCUCGGGUCUUUCCCCACCACCUACCUGAGGAUCCCCAUUAGCGACUCUCGGCUCUCCGUGGCAGAUCUAAGGCCCUUGAUGCUCAAGCUUCAGCACUGUAUCGAGCCUUGGCAGGGCCGAUGGUUGUCUAAAGUGGCUCGAACGAUCCUCAUCAACUCGUCCUUGUCCAGCCUCCUCCUGUUCAUCAUGAGUUUCUACAGCCUGCCCGAAACGUUGCACCAUGAGAUCGGCUUAGUCCAGGUGCGCUUCUACUGGGCCGGCAAGGGUGAUAAGCAGAAAUACCAUAUGGUGCGUUGGACCGACGUCUGCAAACCUAGGGACCAAGGCGGCCUCGGCAUCAUGUCCUCCAAAUGCAUGAACCUGGCUCUCCUCACGCGAUGGCUCUGGCGCAUUGUGAAUGGAGAGCGUGGCCUGUGGUUGCAAAUCAUCCUGAAGAAAUACUUGUGCGGCCAACCUCUUGCCUUUUGCCUGAGGACGGGAGGCUCCCAGUUCUGGCAGUCCGUCAUCCAGCUGCUCCCGGUUCUCCACAUCGGGACCUCCAUCUCGGUUGGCUCUGGGGCAUCCACCCUGUUUUGGUUCGACCGGUGGGAUGGGGACUCCCCCUUUGCUGCCAGGUUCCUGGAUCUUUUCUCCAUUGCGGUGGAGCCUUAG